rnacentral:rRNA from 1 species
AGAGUUUGAUCAUGGCUCAGAUUGAACGCUGGCGGCAUGCCUUACACAUGCAAGUCGAACGGUAACGCGGGGCAACCUGGCGACGAGUGGCGAACGGGUGAGUAAUGCAUCGGAACGUGCCCAGUAGUGGGGGAUAGCCCGGCGAAAGCCGGAUUAAUACCGCAUACGACCUACGGGUGAAAGCGGGGGACCGCAAGGCCUCGCGCUAUUGGAGCGGCCGAUGUCAGAUUAGCUUGUUGGUGGGGUAAAAGCCCACCAAGGCGACGAUCUGUAGCUGGUCUGAGAGGACGACCAGCCACACUGGGACUGAGACACGGCCCAGACUCCUACGGGAGGCAGCAGUGGGGAAUUUUGGACAAUGGGCGCAAGCCUGAUCCAGCCAUGCCGCGUGCGGGAAGAAGGCCUUCGGGUUGUAAACCGCUUUUGUCAGGGAAGAAACGCUUUGGGCUAAUACCCCGAGGUAAUGACGGUACCUGAAGAAUAAGCACCGGCUAACUACGUGCCAGCAGCCGCGGUAAUACGUAGGGUGCAAGCGUUAAUCGGAAUUACUGGGCGUAAAGCGUGCGCAGGCGGUUAUGCAAGACAGAUGUGAAAUCCCCGGGCUCAACCUGGGAACUGCAUUUGUGACUGUAUAGCUAGAGUGCGGUAGAGGGGGAUGGAAUUCCGCGUGUAGCAGUGAAAUGCGUAGAUAUGCGGAGGAACACCGAUGGCAAAGGC